GACGUAGGGGGCCAGCGUUGUCCGGAAUUACUGGGCGUAAAGCGCGUGUAGGUGGUGGGACAAGUCUGCUGUGAAAGCGCCUGGCUUAACCGGGCGAGGUCGGCGGAAACUGUCCGACUCGAGGACGGUAGAGGGGGGUGGAAUUCCCGGUGUAGUGGUGAAAUGCGUAGAGAUCGGGAGGAACACCUGUGGCGAAGGCGGCCCCCUGGGC
rnacentral:rRNA from 1 species